AGAGGGUGCAAGCGUUAAUCGGAAUUACUGGGCGUAAAGCGCGCGUAGGUGGUUUGUUAAGUUGGAUGUGAAAUCCCCGGGCUCAACCUGGGAACUGCAUUCAAAACUGACUGACUAGAGUAUGGUAGAGGGUGGUGGAAUUUCCUGUGUAGCGGUGAAAUGCGUAGAUAUAGGAAGGAACACCAGUGGCGAAGGCGACCACCUGGACUAAUACCGACACUGAGGUGCGAAAGCGUGGAGAGCAAACAGGAUUAGAUACCCUGGUAGUCCACGCCGUAAACGAUGUCAACUAGCCGUUGGAAGCCUUGAGCUUUUAGUGGCGCAGCUAACGCAUUAAGUUGACCGCCUGGGGAGUACGGCCGCAAGGUUA
rnacentral:rRNA from 1 species